GACGAACGCUGGCGGCGUGCUUAACACAUGCAAGUCGAACGGAAAGGCCCUGCUUUUGUGGGGUGCUCGAGUGGCGAACGGGUGAGUAACACGUGAGUAACCUGCCCUUGACUUUGUGAUAACUUCAGGAAACUGGGGCUAAUACCGGAUAGGAGCUCCUGCUGCAUGGUGGGGGUUGGAAAGUUUCGGCGGUUGGGGAUGGACUCGCGGCUUAUCAGCUUGUUGGUGGGGUAGUGGCUUACCAAGGCUUUGACGGGUAGCCGGCCUGAGAGGGUGACCGGCCACAUUGGGACUGAGAUACGGCCCAGACUCCUACGGGAGGCAGCAGUGGGGAAUAUUGCACAAUGGGCGGAAGCCUGAUGCAGCAACGCCGCGUGCGGGAUGACGGCCUUCGUGUUGUAAACCGCUUUCGCCUGUGACGAAGCGUGAGUGACGGUAAUGGGUAAAGAAGCACCGGCUAACUACGUG
rnacentral:rRNA from 1 species